rnacentral:rRNA from 1 species
GACGAACGCUGGCGGCGUGCUUAACACAUGCAAGUCGAGCGAAAAGGCGCCAGCUUUCUUGAGUACUCGAGUGGCGAACAGGUGAGUAACACACGGGGGAACUGCACUGCACUUCGGGAUAAACCUGGGAGACUGGGGCUCAUACCGGGGAGGACCGCUUUAUGGUGAGGGUUGUGGAAUGGAUUUUGGGGUUGGUGUUGAGUUCGCGGCCUAUCAGGUUGUUGGUGGUGUAAUGGCCUACCAAGGCGGGGAGGGGUAGCCGGCCUUAGAGGGUGGACGGGCACAUUGGGACUGAGGUACGGCCGAGACUGCUACGGGAGGCAGCAGUGGGGAAUAUUGCAGAAUGGGGGAAGCCCUGAUGCAGAGACGCCGCGUGGCGGAUGAAGGCCUUCGGGUUGUAAACUACUUUCGCUAGGGACGAAGCUUUUUGUGACGGUACCUGGUGAAGAAGCCCCGGCUAACUACGUG